rnacentral:rRNA from 1 species
ACGGGAGGCAGCAGUGGGGGAUAUUGGGCAAUGGGGGAAACCCUGACCCAGCAACGCCGCGUGAAGGAAGAAGGCCCUCGGGUUGUAAACUUCUUUUACCAGGGACGAACAAAUGACGGUACCUGGAGAAAAAGCAACGGCUAACUACGUGCCAGCAGCCGCGGUAAUACGUAGGUUGCAAGCGUUGUCCGGAUUUACUGAGUGUAAAGGGCGUGUAGGCGGAGAAGCAAGUCAGAUGUGAAAUCCCGGGGCUUAACCCCGGAACUGCAUUUGAAACUGUUUCCCUUGAGUAUCGGAGAGGCAAGCGGAAUUCCUAGUGUAGCGGUGAAAUGCGUAGAUAUUAGGAGGAACACCAGUGGCGAAGGCGGCUUGCUGGACGACAACUGACACUGAGGCGCGAAAGCGUGGGGAGCAAACAGGAUUAGAUACCCUGGUA